rnacentral:tRNA from 1 species
GAUGUUAUGGUUUAGUUGAUUAAAGCAUCUGUUGAAUAACUUGGGGGGGGCCUGGGUUCAAAUCCCAGUGGUACCU